GCGAGAGUUCGCUUCGCCUACCAAGCGUACCAACGCCGCAUUGUAGCAAACGAGGAGUCCAAGGUGGCGCAGCCUCUCGGGCCUCUCAUUUGCUGCGCUGCAGCGCUGGUUCGCUUGGUACGCCGAGCGCACUCUUGC
rfam:Phytophthora ramorum strain Pr102 Scaffold67 genomic scaffold, whole genome shotgun sequence.